AACGAACGCUGGCGGCAUGCCUAACACAUGCAAGUCGAACGAUCCCUUCGGGGAUAGUGGCGCACGGGUGCGUAACGCGUGGGAACCUGCCCUUAGGUUCGGAAUAACUCAGAGAAAUUUGAGCUAAUACCGGAUAAUGUCUUCGGGCCAAAGAUUUAUCGCCUUUGGAUGGGCCCGCGUUGGAUUAGCUAGUUGGUGGGGUAAAGGCCUACCAAGGCGACGAUCCAUAGCUGGUCUGAGAGGAUGAUCAGCCACACUGGGACUGAGACACGGCCCAGACUCCUACGGGAGGCAGCAGUGGGGAAUAUUGGACAAUGGGCGAAAGCCUGAUCCAGCAAUGCCGCGUGAGUGAUGAAGGCCAUAGGGUUGUAAAGCUCUUUUACCCGGGAUGAUAAUGACAGUACCGGGAGAAUAAGCCCCGGCUAACUCCGU
rnacentral:rRNA from 1 species